rnacentral:rRNA from 1 species
CCCUUAGAUGUUCUGGGCCGCACGCGCGCUACACUGACGAAUGCAACGAGCUUAUAACCUUGGCCGAAAGGUCUGGGUAAUCUCCAAAUUUCGUCGUGAUGGGGAUAGGUUAUUGCAAUUAUUAAUCUUCAACGAGGAAUGCCUAGUAAGCGCAAGUCAUCAGCUUGCGUUGAUUACGUCCCUGCCCUUUGUACACACCGCCCGUCGCUCCUACCGAUUGAAUGGUCCGGUGAAGCGCUCGGACCGCGGCCUCUUGACGGUUCGCUGUCGAUUGGCUGUGGGAAGUUCGUUAAACCUUAUCAUUUAGAGGAAGGAGAAGUCGUAACA